rnacentral:rRNA from 1 species
UACGAAGGGGGCUAGCGUUGUUCGGAAUUACUGGGCGUAAAGCGCGCGCAGGCGGCCUUUCAAGUCAGGGGUGAAAUCCCAGAGCUCAACUCUGGAAUUGCCUCUGAGACUGUGAGGCUUCGAGUACGGGAGAGGUGAGUGGAAUUCCCAGUGUAGAGGUGAAAUUCGUAGAUAUUGGGAAGAACACCGGUGGCGAAAGCGGCGCGCUGGACCUCUACUGACGCUGAGGCGCGAAAGCCAGGGGAGCAAACGGG